UCCUUUGUUUUUUCCUAUAAUCUUAACAUUUGACCAUCUAAUUAAUAAUUAAGUUGAUUAUAGAAUUUUAAAUAACAUGACUUGGGGUAAUAACAUGAUAUGGAACAUACAUCUAACUUUUUUAUUCUUUAUAAUGUUGAUAAUAAUGUUUAGGUUAGUAUUUUGAUUGGUCUUAAAGCAUUGGAUUGGUAGCUAAUUGCAAGAGGUAGUUGACAGAAUGGAACAUUUGGUUUCGGAGUAAGAAAAGCAAUAUCCAUCUGGAGAAAGAUGACAAUUUUCAAAUGCACAUGUAUGUUUGCUUUGCUAUGUAGCUUGGUAAAUGUGUAUUGCAUUUCUAUAGAUUAUCUCUUGUAUAAUAAUAUUUAUUCUCCUAUAAAUGUUUAGUAUAAUCGUCUCCCCGCUUUUGUUUAGGAUUCUUUCUCUGAAAUCUGUCUUGUUUUGUCGCUUGAUAUAGAAAAUAGCUUAGUGCGGCAAAAUCUAGAAUUUGUCUUUGGUAAGGACUUUCAACACUAGUUUUUAUGAAAUUGCAGUAUUUUUUUCUAGAGAUGUGACACUCAAAGUUCUUUGGGAUUUAAA